GGUGGUGUAGCUCAGUGGUAGAACUUGUGCUUAUCAUGCAUGAGGUCCUGGGUUCAAUCUCCAGCACCACCA